rnacentral:rRNA from 1 species
CCUACGGGUGGCAGCAGUGGGGAAUAUUGCACAAUGGGCGCAAGCCUGAUGCAGCCAUGCCGCGUGUGUGAAGAAGGCCUUCGGGUUGUAAAGCACUUUCAGCGGGGAGGAAGGCGUUAAGGUUAAUAACCUUGGCGAUUGACGUUACCCGCAGAAGAAGCACCGGCUAACUCCGUGCCAGCAGCCGCGGUAAUACGGAGGGUGCAAGCGUUAAUCGGAAUUACUGGGCGUAAAGCGCACGCAGGCGGUCUGUCAAGUCGGAUGUGAAAUCCCCGGGCUCAACCUGGGAACUGCAUUCGAAACUGGCAGGCUAGAGUCUUGUAGAGGGGGGUAGAAUUCCAGGUGUAGCGGUGAAAUGCGUAGAGAUCUGGAGGAAUACCGGUGGCGAAGGCGGCCCCCUGGACAAAGACUGACGCUCGGGUGCGAAAGCGUGGGGAGCAAACAGGAUUAGAUACCCGGGUAGUC